rnacentral:rRNA from 1 species
AGAAUCAACGCUGGCGGCGUGCCUAACACAUGCAAGUCGAACGAGAAAGUGGGAGCAAUCCCACGAGUAAAGUGGCGCACGGGUGAGUAACACGUGACUAACCUACCCUUGAGUGGGGGGAUAACCUAGGGAAACCUGGGCUAAUACCGCAUAAUACCUACGGGUCAAAGGAGCAAUUCGCUUUAGGAGGGGGUCGCGGCAGAUUAGUUAGUUGGCGGGGUAAUGGCCCACCAAGACAGUGAUCUGUAUCCGGCCUGAGAGGGCGCACGGACACACUGGAACUGAAACACGGUCCAGACUCCUACGGGAGGCAGCAGUGGGGAAUUUGCGCAAUGGGGGAAACCCUGACGCAGCAACGCCGCGUGGAGGAUGAAGCCCCUUGGGGCGUAAACUCCUUUCGAUCGGGAAGAUAAUGACGGUACCGGAAGAAGAAGCCCCGGCUAACUUCGCGCCAGCAGCCGC